rnacentral:rRNA from 1 species
UUAGUGGCGGACGGGUGAGUAACGCGUGAGGACCUAUCCCAAGCAGGGGGACAACAGCUGGAAACGGUUGCUAAUACCGCAUAAGCGCAUAAUCUGCGUAAAAGGAGAGAUCCGGCAUGGGAGGGGCUCGCGUCCUAUCAGCUAGUAGGUGGGGUAAAGGCCUACCUAGGCGAUGACGGGUAGCCGGCCUGAGAGGGCGCACGGCCACACUGGGACUGAGAUACGGCCCAGACUCUUACGGGAGGCAGCAGUGGGGAAUAUUGGGCAAUGGGGGGAACCCUGACCCAGCGACGCCGCGUGAGUGAAGAAGUCCUUCGGGACGUAAAGCUACUGUUGUGUGGGAAGAAGAGG